CGGUCUAUAAUGCAGUCGACGCUUUGUCUUUAACUGAUCUGACGAGCUUGCUCUGAUUUGAUUUUAUCUGACAAAGAGUGGCGAACGGGUGAGUAACACGUGGGUAACCUACCUCUUAGCAGGGGAUAACAUUUGGAAACAAGUGCUAAUACCGUAUAAUACCAACAACCGCAUGGUUGUUGGUUGAAAGAUGGUUCUGCUAUCACUAAGAGAUGGACCCGCGGUGCAUUAGCUAGUUGGUAAGGUAACGGCUUACCAAGGCAAUGAUGCAUAGCCGAGUUGAGAGACUGAUCGGCCACAAUGGGACUGAGACACGGCCCAUACUCCUACGGGAGGCAGCAGUAGGGAAUCUUCCACAAUGGGCGCAAGCCUGAUGGAGCAACGCCGCGUGUGUGAUGAAGGGUUUCGGCUCGUAAAACACUGUUAUAAGAGAAGAACGGCACUGAGAGUAACUGUUCAGUGUGUGACGGUAUCUUACCAGAAAGGAACGGCUAAAUACGUGCCAGCAGCCGCGGUAAUACGUAUGUUCCAAGCGUUAUCCGGAUUUAUUGGGCGUAAAGCGAGCGCAGACGGUUAUUUAAGUCUGAAGUGA
rnacentral:rRNA from 1 species